GGGAGGACGUGGGAGCCCUCCCGGAGCUCUGCCAGCUCUCCCCAGAAGCCAUUAACCUGCCUCCGCUGGGUCUCAUCUCCUCGGAUCUGCCUCUUCUGGACAAUUCUCAUGAAUGGAAUCCUAUAAUACCUG